AUUUGGGGCGUGAUUCUUCCCCAUCAUCCAACUGGAUGUACUAGAAGUGCAACUAGAAUGAGAAUGGAUAAGCCUGGUCUUCUAAUGCUGGAAAGCAGGAUUUUAAAUUCUGAACAGCUGUCAUCUUUGACCACCCUGCCUCCUGUUUAUUUGCUAUUUGCAAAUAUUUAUGUGAACUUACUAUUUUUCUCAAGGAUGUUUGGGGAAUAGCUACUUUACAUAUAGAGACAUGUAUUUGCAUGCAAUGGCUGUCAUGCUGUAAAAAAGGCUGCAGCAUCAGCAAGCUUAGCAAUCCGAAACCUUUUAAAGGAAAUACUUGAAAAGGCAAAGCCAGAUGUCUCUCCUAAAGUUUGCCCCUUGGCUAUCUGAAGGAAAGAGAAUAAACUGGAACAUCCAUUGCCA
rnacentral:lncRNA from 14 species